rnacentral:rRNA from 1 species
AUUGAACGCUGGCGGCAGGCUUAACACAUGCAAGUCGAGCGGGGUGAUGGUGCUUGCGCUAUCACUUAGCGGCGGACGGGUGAGUAAUGCUUAGGAAUCUGCCUAUUAGUGGGGGACAACAUCUCGAAAGGGAUGCUAAUACCGCAUACGUCCUACGGGGGAAAGCAGGGGAUCACUUGUGACCUUGCGCUAAUAGAUGAGCCUAAGUCGGAUUAGCAAGUUGGUGGGGUAAAGGCCUACCAAGGCGACGAUCUGUAGCGGGUCUGAGAGGAUGAUCCGCCACACUGGGACUGAGACACGGCCCAGACUCCUACGGGAGGCAGCAGUGGGGAAUAUUGGACAAUGGGGGGAACCCUGAUCCAGCCAUGCCGCGUGUGUGAAGAAGGCCUUAUGGUUGUAAAGCACUUUAAGCGAGGAGGAGGCUCUUUUGGUUAAUACCCAGAAUGAGUGGACGUUACUCGCAGAAUAAGCACCGGCUAACUCUGUGCCAGCCGCCGCCGUAA